rnacentral:rRNA from 1 species
CAAGUAAGACUAGUGUUAUUCAUCUUUAAUAGGUGUAAAGGGUGCCUAGACGGUAAAUUUAGCCCCUAAAGGGUACAGAUUUUACUAGAGUUUAGUUGUGAGAGGUAUAUAUUAGUACUGUUAGUGUAGAGAUAAAAUUCUUUGAUAGUAAUAGGCACCGAUAACGGCGAAAGCAGCCCUCUAUGCGAAAACUGACGUUGAGGGACGAAGGCUUGGGGAGCGAAUAGGAUU